GGCGACAUGGCCGAGUGGUAAGGCAGAGCACUGCAAAUCCUUUUUUCCCCAGUUCAAAUCUGGGUAAAACCC
rnacentral:tRNA from 1 species